rnacentral:rRNA from 1 species
UACGUAGGUGGCAAGCGUUAUUCGGAAUUACUGGGCGUAAAGCGUACGUAGGCGGCUUUGCAAGUUAGAGGUGAAAGCCUGGAGCUCAACUCCAGAACUGCCUUUAAAACUGCAUCGCUUGAAUCCAGGAGAGGUGAGUGGAAUUCCGAGUGUAGAGGUGAAAUUCGUAGAUAUUCGGAAGAACACCAGUGGCGAAGGCGGCUCACUGGACUGGUAUUGACGCUGAGGUACGAAAGCGUGGGGAGCAAACAGG